rnacentral:misc_RNA from 1 species
AAAUUCUAGAUCAUCUCUAGCAAAAUAAUUAUGGUUUGUGUGAUGACUAUAUUAACUUCUAGAUAAUGGGCAUUAUGGAAUUUUAAAGAAGCAAAAUUCUAGAUAAUGGAUAUUAUGCCUAUUAGUUUAAAACAAGAAGAUGUAACCUAAUGAUUCUUAAAAUUCCAUUGUGUGAUUGCCAUGCAUGGUGUUAAUAUCAAAUGUGCUGCCCCUUUUUGUGAAUUUUUUUCUGCGUACUCUGAUUCAUACAAUUUCAAAUACUUCCAAGCUUUAAAUAUUUCUUCAAUGCUUCUCAGUUCUCAUGAAAGUCCUAAUGCAGACUGCUUAUUCAUUCAUGUUAUUGGGCUUUCGUGCUGCUAAGCCAGAAAAUUUAUAGUUCAAGUUCUAUAUUCUGUAUUAUCUCUUAUAUGUUUAUA